rnacentral:rRNA from 1 species
UACAGAGGAUGCAAGCGUUAUCCGGAAUGAUUGGGCGUAAAGCGUGCGCAGGCGGUUUGUUAAGUCCGCUGUGAAAUCCCCGAGCUCAACUUGGGAAUUGCAGUGGAUACUGGCAAGCUGGAGUAUGGUAGAGGAAGGUGGAAUUCCAGGUGUAGCAGUGAAAUGCGUAGAGAUCGGGAGGAACACCAGUGGCGAAGGCGGCCUUCUGGACCAAUACUGACGCUCAUGCACGAAAGCGUGGGGAGCAAACAGG